UGGAAGAUCAGACUGCCACACUUAGUAC
rnacentral:piRNA from 1 species